rnacentral:rRNA from 1 species
AGGACGAACGCUGGCGGCGUGCUUAACACAUGCAAGUCGAACGGUGAAGAGGAGCUUGCUCCUUGGAUCAGUGGCGAACGGGUGAGUAACACGUGAGCAAUCUGCCCUUGACUCUGGGAUAACUGCGGGAAACUGUAGCUAAUACCGGAUAUUACCUUGGAAGGCAUCUUCUGGGGUGGAAAGAAUUUUGGUCAAGGAUGAGCUCGCGGCCUAUCAGCUAGUUGGUGAGGUAAUGGCUCACCAAGGCGACGACGGGUAGCCGGCCUGAGAGGGUGACCGGCCACACUGGGACUGAGACACGGCCCAGACUCCUACGGGAGGCAGCAGUGGGGAAUAUUGCACAAUGGGCGCAAGCCUGAUGCAGCAACGCCGCGUGAGGGACGAAGGCCUUCGGGUUGUAAACCUCUUUUAGUAGGGAAGAAGCGACUGGGUUUUCCUGGAAGUGACGGUACCUGCAGAAAAAGCACCGGCUAACUACGUGCCAGC